ACAUUGGUGGUAUAGUGGUGAGCAUAGCUGCCUUCCAAGCAGUUGACCCGGGUUUGUUUCCCGGCCAACGCA
rfam:Lepisosteus oculatus linkage group LG13, whole genome shotgun sequence.